GGAAAGGAUAAAAGCAAGCCAAGGCGAGAGCUGCACCCCGCGGUGAUCACAAGCGGCGGACUGCGUUGGUAUCUCCUUAUCAGUCGGUAGCUCUGCUUUUCAGGCUCUCAGUCGCUGCGGCUGAGGCAGGAGGCAGGCACUUAGCUCUCCUACACCGGCGGCGCGAACUGGGUGCCUGCCACCAUGAGAAAUCCUCAAACCCCGGCGCCUGAGAAACGCUGAGUAGCCUCGACUGGAAAAUACAGCGUGCAGGGAAAGGUCAGAGCGCGGCAGCCCUCGGGGAGCGGAGCCGAGCCGCGGCUCCUGCAGCUCGGCUUUAUGGUGGUUCGACUCUGCUGAGCUUAAUGCAGUGAUUCCUGGUGGAUACCUGCGCAUGCUGUCCCUCUGCCCCAAAAUAGCCCUAAAAAUGCCUGAGACAGGCGUCAGAGGAUUUUCCAYGCAUAAAAGGAUGCUCAGGACUCCGAGGCAUCCAAUCCAACCAUCACCGGCAGCUCAAAUUUCCACCCCACCAACUCCCUUGCUCUCUUUGCCCUAGUUACACAGACAGCCGUGGGUUGCACAGCCUCUCGUCAAACCCAGGAGCAUCCCAGAAAAGCCAGCCCGCUCAGGUGAAAGCCAAGGUGCUCCUUGUUACCUCUCCGGAAAGCCCAAACGCCAUCCUUUUCAUGGAUGUUAAAUCCCCAUCGGUCGCAUACUCAGGGCUUAACAUGCAGUUUCCUAACACCCAGCUGGGCAUCUCUCCCCUCUUUUUCAGCAGUGGCACACGGACAGGUAGGCACAGCCCGGCUUAGGAAGCUUGUGUGUCUUUAGGGCAAAUACAUCCUUCAACAGAGAGAGAAAGGAUUUGUCUUUCUACACGCAGAGAAGAUAAAAAAAAAAAAAAAGCUUAUUAUAUACCAGAAUACCUUCCUCCCUCACCAAAGGUCAAACUUAGAUCCAAUUUCAGUCAGGAGGGAGACGUCUGUCAGACAAGCACUAAUCACUAUUUAGUAUUCAUAUUCACCUAUUAGAAGCUCCAUGCUGUAAACAUGUCUAUGAAUUAACAAGGCAUCUGGCCUCUCUUAUACAAUAUGAGCAGCUUGGAUCAUGAAGUGUCUGCAGAAAAUAAAAAGUGCCUUCCAUCUGUCUCUCCCA
rnacentral:lncRNA from 1 species